ensembl:lncRNA
GGCUUUUGUUAAUUUCCUUUGAUUUCCGGUAGGGAGCUCGGAGCCUUUGCCGGGUUUUGAUGGCCGGUUCCGGUACUCCUUCCUUAAGGGCCUACAGGAGACCAGCUGAUGGCUGGCCCCAGGACCCGGGGAGACUUCUCCCUCACUGUCUUUCCUGCCUACUAGCUGCCAUUGUCAGAGUUUCUAACUGCUGGAGGCCCCUUCCUCUGCUCUCUGACAUCUGCAGGCUCUGUCCUCAUCCUGAGGUAAAGUUAUGGCAUUGCCUUUGGGUCAGCAGGCACCUGUUAUUCUAGGAACUGGUGACGUUCAGCGACGUGGCGGUGUAUCUCUCGAAGGAGGAAUGGGGCCAGCUGGACCCUUCUCAGAGAGCCCUCUACAAAGAUGUGAUGCUGGAGAAUUAUGGGAAUGUAGUCUCACUUGGUAAGGACUUUGCCCCUUGCACACUUCUCAUGCUAGGUCUCAGAAUCAGUCCCUGCUUCUUAAACAUAGGGAGCUAAGCUGUACCCUGUGGGCCUGGGCCUGCUCAGGGCGGGGACACACACACACACACACACACACACACACACACACACACACACACACACACACACACACACACACACACACAGAGAGUCUGUCGCCUGUUCCCUAACUCGAAGCCUCUCUUCUGGAUCCCUUUCCUCUGGCCUGCCGUUUCUUAUAGCUUGCCUUACGACCUAGUCUUCUUGCCAUUGGGUGGCCUAGCUUUUUAGCCACCAAGUCCCUACCUCACUUAGAUGAGACAUUGGAUGUCAGAUUCUAAUGGAGGAUGUUAGGUGGAGCCCCUGGGAUCAUGGAUUUGGGGCUAGCUGGUGAUUCCGAGAGAGCGAGAGUGGCUUGACCAAGGUCACAAAGGUGGAUGAGCCAGAAUUUGCACCUGGGUCAUCUUACCACAAAUUGAGUGCACUCCAGGUGGUGUUUCCUUCUUUAAAAGUCAAGCUAACAUUGAAUUGAAUUAAAUUGAAUUAAUUGAAUUGAUUUGGAAUUGUCAUCUGCUAGAAAUAGCAAGGUAUAGUGGCUAGCAAGCUGACUUGGGUCUUAGCCACCUCCUCUGCAUUGACUCAUGGCCCCUGAGCAAGUCACCGCCCCUCCCCCUGUUCUCCAGGCCACUCCUUAAGACUACACAUUGCUGAGAAGGUGCUGACCUGCAGCAGGAGAGGAGUUUCCUCACCCAGAAGUUGCUUAAACCAGUGAAACCACAAGUAGGUCCAUUCUCUGUCCUGUUUACAAUGCCGUCCUCAUACCCCAAAUGGUGGUGCAUCUGUACCUGCUGCUGGUUCCAUCUGGCCACCAGGCCUCAAUAAUAGAUCUGGGGUUCAGUGCUUGUCAGUUGUGAGACCUGGGGCCUCUUCUGUUUGGGUGGGCCUCAUUUUCAUCUGCUGUGGCAUUAAGGUAUUUGUCAGACCUAAACAGAUGGAAUUUUCAGACCCCUCUGCUUCCUCAGUGGAGUGCCCUCAUCUGCUCCUAAGCUUUUAUAGGCUCCUGCAGGCUCAGGGUGCCCAAAUGAAUGUGCACGAUUUCCCAGUCCCUCUGAAUUUCUUCCUCAAGAGACCAAACCAUUUUAAUGUCAAUUACAUGAUAACCACAUAGUGGCUAUGAAAAUGAACCAUUUCCUUAAAGUAGGAAAGCAAGGUGAAAUUGGGAAAAUUCCUUAAUAGCAAACAUUCCCAAUACCCAUGGCCCAGGCCCAACUAAAUCCCCGAUCGUGGUCCAGCUCAUUAGAGGCCAAGCACCCAGUUCAAAUGUUGGGGUAACAAGCUUGGCCUUCACCACAGGAGCUGCAGCCAUCUUGCAUGAAAGUUUUUGCUUGUCCCAGAAAGGCUGCUCUGCUGCUCCCCCCCAGGACCUGGGUGUCUGGGGGCCCCGCCACUCCCCUUACAGAUGGUGCCCCUGUUCAUGGCAGGGAGGCCUUCCCAGGGUAGAUGGGCAGGUUGUGCCCACACUGUCCCCCAGGCCACCAGGGCUCCCCCAUCUUACCUCCUAGGAUCCCCAGAUUCCUUCCAAGCCCAGCUCAGGCACUGCCUCCUGCAAGUGGCUUUUUCUGAUUCUUCCAAAUGUUCUCACUCUCACUCUCUUGACCUUAUUUGAUAUUACAAGAUUUAUACUCUGUGUUGGGUAUUCCUGGGACUUUCCACUCAGUAAAAUAUAAGCUCCCUGAGACCAGGGUCCUUUUCAUUUAUGUUUUCACAUGCCUAGCAUCUAGUGCCUGACAUAUAGUAAGCACUUAAUAAUUGCUUGUUGGAUUGAAUUAAGUUAAAAAUAUAUAGUCACGUAUGCAAAGCUGAAACAUACCUGAGGUGUCAUUUAUACAGAGAGUGCUUUGCCUAAAGAGACACCAUGCCCGUGCUAGGUGCAUAAUAAAUGUGAGUGCAAUGGAAUUGAAUUCUGCA